UAUAACAUGCAGUUACAAGUAAGCAGUAGUUACUUAGCAAUGAGUAGUCUAUUUCUGCUCCAUUGGCUAACAGUUAUCGAUAUAAUUGAAGCGAGAUCGAAUAACGCGUUCAAUAACACGGUGAAAUUGAUCCGUAACACACUCAGUGGCAGAGGUCUUUUAAAUUAGUAACGAUAUGAUAAGCACUGGCUUAGUGGAAUUGUAGUAAAUAUUCGGAGACAGUGUGAGAUACAAGGAAAAGAAAGUAAUUCACGUGAUACAUUAAUUUGACGAACAGUGGCGAAUUAACGGUAGUAAAAUUCUUCAACAUCGUCACUGUAGGGCUGUAAAGUAAUGUUACGCAGGAACAGGCGGCAUCGAAAAGGAUGCACUUAUAGGUGCAGUCCGAGAAUGACGUCAACCUAUUGCCUUUCUAUAAAUAUCGAGUUUCCAAAAGAAGUUCGUUGCCCACGCUUGCAACGCGAACAACAAGGAACCUAAAGAAAAAUUGUCAGCUCUCGCACAUUAUGCCAGCAGUUUAAUAUAGAGAAGUUUCCAACACGAUAGAGAUAUUUCCAAGCAAAGAAAGAAUAUUUUGGUCCAAUUCCAUCAAGAUGUCAAAUAUUCGAUCACUCGUUCUAUUGAGUUUGCAACUAAGUCAUUGCGGGUGUUGUCAUUAGGUGAUAAUGACAAAAUUCGCAAUCACUUAGUUGCCAACCCAAUAAUGUAUGUUCACAAAAUUCAAUAUCUUUCUACUAGAAGCAAUGUUUUAUCAACGGUGUACGUUUAAGGUCCAACAUUUUCCUAUUAAAUUCAAUUUAUAGCGAACGCUGUGGACAUUCGAACAAAUCGGUAUUUGGUAAAAAAAAUGGAUAGGUUGGAGAUGAAACUCGAACUCGACCUGGUCGCGAUUAUACGAUCGGUAGGUAAGAGGAACGAUCUGUAGGCAAGGAAGCACAAUGCAAAUAUUGAAUGUGGUUUGCAAGAGGAUAACGCUGAUGACUCAUGUCGAGUGACAGGCCGGACUGACGUUGGUGAAUAAGUACACCGGUGAAUAUUGCGGAUUGUUGCGAACACAUGCACCGAUACACGACAAAGCCGUGGCAUACUUACGCCUAUCCGAAACGAGGCAGUUUUCAAGCUGUAACAUCAUUCGUGUCACGUUCGCUGUUUUUUCGGACGUAAAGCAAUGCAAGUGUUGCCUACGUUCUUAUACGCAAAAGCAACCCCGUGAAAAGGACUCGAACGAAGAAUGCAAACGUGGUUGCAGCUUUUUCAAAGGCAAUCGAAAUGUUCAUUCUGCAACAUAUUUCGAAGUUGCUGACGUACAUUAUCGCUGAAAGGUUUGGAGCAUCCUUCGCUAUUAAGGCAAACAGGUCGUUUCAGGCAAAAGGAGGAUACGACUAAUUUAGAAGAUUCGUUUCUUCGCGAAAUAGAAAAGUAGAGCGCUAGGUGUAUUAAGCUGUGAUUCUCCAAUUUUUACACUUCAAUUUAUUGUUCUCGUUUUGGCAUACAAAAAGAAGAAACUUUGAUAUAAAAUUUAAACCAGGAAUCGUACCACCCAAUUUUCACAUCAAUAACAAUUUUUCCAUAUUUUCUUCAAACUUGAGAUGCUUUUUAACAUUAGAAAAAUGCGGAUGGACCGUAAUGGACUGGAAUAUUGAAUCUUCUUGUGAAAGAACGUAGCAAGGUUAAAAAAACGGGGAGAAAAGGGAACUAAUAUCACGCUCUUUCACAGAAGUAGACGUUCUUUCGCGGAAUCAGUUACCUGCGAACUUUCCUUACCAAACCUGUCUCCCUGUUAUCAGAUGUUCCAUAUAAGAAAACGUUAUUCACAUUUCGCGAAACAGUUUCAUAGAAGAGGCGCGAAAGCGAGAUGAGCGGCAACUCGUUGGUUGAUUAAUAGAAGUAGCAGUUGCAUCAAGCCACGUUAGAAAGUAAAGGCUAAUUAAAUCUGCGCGAUUGUUCCUCAUGAUUUGUUGCGCUACUAGGUUGAGUCUGUUACGUUACGGUACCGCUACAAGGAUCCAGCCUACGCUUUAAUUCUAGUUGUUUCACCUUCCACAGCCUUUCGUCUCGGCGCCGUACCUUGUCAUUUUCGCAUUCGAGAUUUUACCACACUUUUCGAAUGGCAUUCUUUACCAUCCGCGAACAAAUACAUUUGUGUUUUUUAAAAUCGUAAUGAAUUAUUCAUAAUCAUAGGAUAGCAGUGAAUUCUUUUUCAUUCGCUAUUCAUUUUUUUUUAAAUACCUAUAAUAUGCAUAAAAUUUCCAUAUAUAAUGUUUAAUAGGUAAUACUUGAAGUGAAUUACCCUAUUAAGAUCGUGUAUCGAGUAAUUGAUCGAUAGAACGACAUCAGACAGAGGGAAUGUCGCGUAAUGUUUUAGAAGUGUCUGUACUGAUAUUAAACUACGGGACAAGAGUUUUUUAAACAGAGCAACGUUGCUACUUGGAAAAUAAGCGAAGUAGAACUAAAGAGAAGUAGGGUGGUAACUCCCAAAUAUAACUUUUAAAGUAGUGUCGUCAGUCUUUGAAGCGGUUGUUACGCUCCACUCAACGAGAUUUCAAGUAUUCUUCGGUGUACAGCGGGCAAACAACUCUUUGAAGUAGCGUACUAAAGCUUCUACACGAUCGUAAAUUUUAAAAAGCGCCAGUGAACCGUAAUUGCCUAUUUUAUCUCACAUACUAAAAUUCAAAAUCUCGUCAAUUUUCUGUCUCGAAAAAGAAAGAAAAGAAGGAACAUAAGGAAUGGAAAUAGAAAAAUACGCAAUAGAAAAAUCCUCCUUUUAAAAUGAUAAAUAUUUUGAAUAUUUAUUUUCAUUACAGAUUAUCCAUUCCACUAGUAUCCACUCAUAAUUGUUCUCUACGUCACGUUCAUAGAUCGUCUCUAGGAAAUGCAGCAUCCAUAGAAAAGUCCAUAGAAUUCUGUUACAGCGCCUGAAUCUUUUUAAAGCUUAAGAAAUAUUCGCCCCUGAAUGUAUUAACGUAGCUGGCACAAGAAUCUUGUAACAAAGCUCAGAGCCGGCAUAUUCUAAAUACUUUAGCUGGUAAGCAAACACGUGUCUCAAAUUUUCUCCCAUACUUUCUUAACUUGCGCAAGCUGGACGGCUUUGUUGGAUCUAGAACUCGGUUGUCCACGUAUGUACCGUGUCUCUAGGCUUCUAUGAAUCGGCGUGUCACGUAACGACAGCGUAGAAAUUGUGCUGUGGUAAUUCGCCCACGCUUGCUCGCACAACCUCGUCGUUUCUCGCCUUUUGCCCGUAUAAUACGUCUACGGUUCGUCGAAGAAUGCGUGACGUCGAUGUGUCAUCGGACCGGGAUGAUUUUAGGUACCAGCCAGAGCACGGACGACAACAUAUUUCACUCGUUUAAAAAUCCGGCUACAAAGGAAUUCUUCACAGCUAUUGAGAACCCGGCUUCCCACGCCUUCCGCAAUGUAUUCUCGUUCAUCUGUUACGUGUCGCCUUUCAAUGCAUCGCGUAAUCACGUGUUUGAUCUUCCCCAUUUCUCCUGUCAUGGGACACCACGGUUUGCGCCUCAUCCUUGUCGAUCCGAUAGUAAAGGGAAUUUUUAAAUGACGGACUUAGAGGAUAGAUGGAUUACGUAGACAGGUUCACGAAAUACUAACCAUAGUAUACUAGAAAGUAUCGUAUUGUAUUUAUGAAUAUAUUAUAUUUGUUGUACGAAAUAUUUUACAAUUUUAUUAGCACUGUUACGACACUGGACUAUACGAUGAGUUUUUUUUUUUUAUUAUUUAAUUUGUACUUUACAAUUUGCCCAGCUGGACAUUUGCUAAAUUUGUCUAUCUUAAUUGCCAAAUACCAUGUGGAUGGCUACCCCCAGCGGGAUACCAUCUUCGAGUUUGACUAUUUUAUUUCUUUAGUGAGGUCAGUGGAGUGUUCUCUUUUUGGUCUUCUUUCAAUGAGAGUUUCGCUCGCUUCAGCAGCCAGCUGAUGUACGGCGAGUGUAUUGGUAAAAUCUGAAACAAAUCUGAAAAUAUGUUGCAUAGAAAUUACGCAACAUAUAAUCAUCGUAACUAAUAAUUAAUAACAGAAAUAUAUUUCACUAAUUAACCAAAUUUAUUAAAUUACUCUCUUUUAUUCUUACAAGUUUCUAAUUGAAAUCUUUAUUACGUAGACAUGCAAUUGUACAUAUAUGCAAGAUAUUUAGUACAACAAACUCAUUAUCCAUAUAAUAUAUAAUAUUAAUACGGAGGUAUAAAUAUCCAAUUUUCUUUUAUCCGCCACUGUAUUUUAGAUGGCAAUCUCUUGCGCCAACACACAACUCUGAUUGAUUGGUCGUUUGCCUGAUAAUUUAGAUUAAUUAUGACAUUAGUAGUUGUUAACUGUAACAUAUUUAUGAUGCUGUAGUGCACGCGUAACCUGGCUGUUUUAGGGAUUUUAUAGAAAUGCGUCUCUUAAGUGGGUAGAUAAGUAUUAGGCGUAGGUCGAGAGAUUUCGUAGGCAGAUUUUUUCUCCUUGUUAAGUGUCGUGAAGUACUUCUAAUAUCGUGAGUAUUGAGAAUAUUUUCUCGUAGUUUACCAGCAAUGUUUGUGGAAUGAUGAGUUUUUUCAUUUUCAAUCCAUAGUUGGUAAUAAAAUCUAUUUUAGGACAUUCAUGUGUGGCAUAUAAAUAUUUAAAUAGCGUUGGGUUAUAUUGAAUUACUAGCUUAAUCAGGAAAUGACAGGCGUGCAUUUUAUGUUUGACCUUGACGGCAACAACGUACACUCCAUAUAGAAUAUUAUUCAUCCGGAAAAUUCCAUUUCACGUAAUGUUUAAAACAUACACGCGAUUGAACUGCAAAUGACUCGUAAUUCUAAAUUCCAGUUGAAAAAGUUUCGCUAUUGAUCGGUUUGAUUACUAUGUUCAUUUACAUUUCUUUGUGUGUUUGUUCUAAAGUCAAAAGUUAAUCUGUUUGCGUUAAAAGAAGGAAAGAAUAAAUAUAAGUUACGGUUUCCAGUGAAGAUUAUCUCGUUCCCGACAUCUUCCACCACGACGACAAUUAUUCCAGGAAGAAGUUGAACCGUUAAGCGUAACUAUUGCACAUUGGAGCUGGAAGUGUAAAAAGAAUUAGAAAACAGUAUAUACGUUUACCACGUUGUGUGUGGGCAAAUGGAAAAACUUUUGCUUCGCUCGUUCCCUUCUGUAAUUUUUUCUCUGCUCGAAAGUGUAAUCGAGCGUCCCUGGUUAGCUUUAUGAAUACACGACAAUCUGUGGUGGCAUACAUCACGAGAGGAUCGCACAAAAACAGAAGCCGCUUGAAGUUUCUUG